rnacentral:rRNA from 1 species
UACGAAGGGUGCAAGCGUUAAUCGGAAUUACUGGGCGUAAAGCGUGCGUAGGCGGUUCUUUUAAGUCUGCUGUGAAAUCCCCGGGCUCAACCUGGGAAUGGCAGUGGAUACUGGAGAGCUAGAGUGUGAUAGAGGAUGGUGGAAUUCCCGGUGUAGCGGUGAAAUGCGUAGAGAUCGGGAGGAACACCAGUGGCGAAGGCGGCUACCUGGACCAGCACUGACACUGAGGCACGAAAGCGUGGGGAGCAAACAGG